rnacentral:rRNA from 1 species
UACGGAGGGGGCUAGCGUUGUUCGGAAUUACUGGGCGUAAAGCGCACGUAGGCGGCUUUGUAAGUUAGAGGUGAAAGCCCGGGGCUCAACUCCGGAAUUGCCUUUAAGACUGCAUCGCUAGAACGUCGGAGAGGUAAGUGGAAUUCCGAGUGUAGAGGUGAAAUUCGUAGAUAUUCGGAAGAACACCAGUGGCGAAGGCGACUUACUGGACCACCAUUGACGCUGAGGUGCGAAAGCUUGGGGAGCAAACAGG